GCCGUCAUAGCUCAGUUGGGAGAGCGACAGACUGAAGCUUAGAUAAGCAACUUCUGCAGGUCGCCCGUUCGAUCCGGGCUGACGGCA